AUGAAACACUCCUACGGGAGGCAGCAGUGGGGAAUUUUGGACAAUGGGCGCAAGCCUGAUCCAGCCAUGCCGCGUGUCUGAAGAAGGCCUUCGGGUUGUAAAGGACUUUUGUCAGGGAAGAAAAGGACAGGGUUAAUACCCCUGUCUGAUGACGGUACCUGAAGAAUAAGCACCGGCUAACUACGUGCCAGCAGCCGCGGUAAUACGUAGGGUGCGAGCGUUAAUCGGAAUUACUGGGCGUAAAGCGAGCGCAGACGGUUACUUAAGCAGGAUGUGAAAUCCCCGGGCUCAACCUGGGAACUGCGUUCUGAACUGGGUGACUAGAGUGUGUCAGAGGGAGGUAGAAUUCCACGUGUAGCAGUGAAAUGCGUAGAGAUGUGGAGGAAUACCGAUGGCGAAGGCAGCCUCCUGGGAUAACACUGACGUUCAUGCUCGAAAGCGUGGGUAGCAAACAGGAUUAGAAACCCUAGUAGUCCGAAGUUC
rnacentral:rRNA from 1 species